rnacentral:misc_RNA from 1 species
AUUAUGUUCACGCUGUUCAAGUGUCCAUUACGUUCUCCGACAGUUAUAAAUAGUGCAUUAUUUUGAAAAUAAUUGUCAAUUCUUCCUACCUAGACUACAGAUUAUAAAGAAAGCCUGGUGAAUUCUGUGGACAAGUUUGAUUUUAAAUAAUCGAGUUUAAUUUCAUGGAGUGCCCUCAUCUGGAAGACAAUGCCUGCAUAACGACACCAAAUAUAAAGAGUGAGAACCUGCCUUCCCGCUUUGUUUGUGGUGUUUGUAAAACAGAGCAGAGUCCAUGGAUUUGUGUGAAGUGUGGACGCAUUCACUGUGGAAGAUAUGUAAAUGGACAUGCCAAGCUCCACCAUGAGGAGGCCACAAACCACGCAGUGUGCAUGGACUGUGACAACUUGGCUGUCUUCUGUUACAAAUGUGACGAGUUUGUUAUCAAUGACACAGCACCUGGUCAUCUGGAAAAACUUCGCCAACAACUGAAAUCCAUCUCCAGUGCUCAAGCUCGAAUGAGACAGAAGUCAAGGAGGAGGUGUUCCACUGAUUCACAGGAGAAUGAAAAGGCAACCAAAAAAAUCAAGAAGGAUGACCGUUUAAGUAAACCCCGAUCUUCUGGAUUACGGAAUCUUGGGAAUACAUGUUUUAUGAAUGCAGUAUUACAGUCUCUGAGCAACAUUCAACAGUUUUGUGGUUAUAUAAAGCAACUUCCAUCUUUAGAAGAAAAAGUAACAAAAGUCAAGAAAAUACAGACACGGAAAUCAAAAACACCUGAAGAGGAUGUAUUGCUGGUAGAAGAAUUGCGGAAGACUUUAUGUGCACUAUGGCAGGGCUCCAAAGGUGCAAUCUCUCCAGAGUCCCUGUUUGCUGUCAUUUGGAAAGUUGUCCCCAGAUUUAGGGGAUACCAGCAACAAGAUGCCCACGAGUUUAUGCGGUACCUCUUGGACAGACUUCACACAGAGCUCCUGACACUGCUGCCCUACCCAAACAGUGACAGUCCAUUCAUUGGACCAAAGGGCAAGAGCACAAUUGUAACCGCAAUUUUUGGAGGCCUCCUCCAAAAUGAGGUCACGUGUCUAGUGUGUGGGGUGGAGUCCAAAAAGCAUGACCCAUUCCUAGAUCUAUCUCUUGAUAUUCCCCAACAAUUCUGUACGAGAGGAGUGAAAGCCAAAGACGGGGAACAGUUAAGAUGUACACUCUCAGACUGCUUACAAAGUUUUACAGAAUUGGAGGAACUGGAGGAAUCUGAGCUCUACAUGUGUAGCACUUGUAAGAAGAAACAGCGGUCCACCAAAAAGUUCUGGAUAAGAAGGCUGCCAAAUGUUCUUUGUUUGCAUAUAAAACGCUUUCGAUGGCAGUCUUUCUUUAGAGUGAAACUAGAGACAUUUGUAGAAUUCCCCUUGGAAGGACUAAACAUGCACAAGUAUAUUCUUGACAAUUUGGUAAGAACAAUUGUCUUCUGUAGGCAGUACACAAUCUCAAAGACAAGAAAUAUUUAAGAGAAGAAAUACUAAUCCAGAUUUUGAAAUACAGGUUGUUUGUUGUUGAUAUAACGAGUAAAGUACCGUAUCUUUUUGCUUUCAGCAUGAGACUCGAGGCAGUGGGAGUGGGAGCAAUGAGUAUGACCUGGCAGCGGUGGUUGUUCACCAUGGCUCUGGGGCGGGAUCUGGUCACUACACAUCAUACGCUAGACAUGAAGGUCAAUGGUUCCACUUCAAUGACAGUACAGUGACUCCAUGUGAGCCAGAAACAGUGGCCAAAUGUAAGGCCUACAUCUUGUUCUAUAUACGCCGGCAAUUCAAGGUCCCUGAUUAUUUAAGCAUCAGGAAUGGAAAGUAAACUUCACAGCAUCAGGGAAACUGCUACAGUGGACCAUAUCAUUGACAGUGCGAUUGAGGCUAAAAAAAAAAAGAAGAUCACAUUUUCUGUCUUCAUUGGCGUAGUUUGAAAGUACAAUUCAUUGCAUUGAUAUGACUGGUAUUGGACCAUUUCAUUUACAGAGUGAAUGAGGCCAACAGAAACUCAUUUUCUUGUCGUUUCCAUUUGUGUAGUUGUUGAUCAGUUUUUAGUUUUGUUUAAAGAGUGUUUGGUAUGCAGUUUCAUUGGACAAGUGUAUAAAUGAUGAAGCAUGAUGUUUUGAAAACAGGUAUAGUACAUGUCUAUGGAUGUCUGUCUUCUUCACCUUGUGUACAAGGUUUUAAAAGCAUUUGGUGACUUGAGAAUAUGAUCGAGGAUUUUUCUUUCUAACACUACCCACCUGAUUGUCUUGUUGUGUAUCUGUUUUAGAACAAACAAUUUUGUUUUGAUGUGUUUGUAUAAUGUAUUGCACAUGUAUUUGAUCAAGUUAAUAUUCCCUGGUCUUUACAUUGGAACCAAGAUAAAAAGGUCACAACUAAAUCUAAAUAUGUGAUAUUUUUUUGUUUCUAUGUUAUUUUACAUAUUUCAGCAUGGGUUAAUUCCUGUGUCAAUUUUUGUUUUACAUCUUUACUUCCUCUUGUUUAGAGUGUUAAAAUGUCUACAGAUUUUUGCCAUUUAUAAUAGGUGGGAUUUUUUUCUUAUCGUCAGUAUAAAGCAGGUUAAAGGGUGCUUGUCCUCACAUAUACAUUUAGGUGGCUCACCACCUUAAUAUCAGGUUGUAUUUUUCUUUUCAUGAAUAUACAUGUAGCUGUUUUUAACAUGAUUUCAACAAACUGUCUAAUAUUUCUUUUAUAUAGCAUUGUCUUGUGCACCAUUUAUUGUAAAUGAUAUUUGGUGUUUUCAGUUAAAUACACAGACAACUUAUUACCUUUUGUUCAAAAAUAUUCCAUGAGAUUGAGACAGGUUGCUUUACCUUGAAAUUGAAUGUUUUGUGACAGUGACUGUUAUAUGCUUGUUAGUCUGCCUAUGUAUGAUUGAACGGUUGGAUGUCUGAAGCAGCUACUGUGUAAUUGCUACAGAAACCCUCGCAGGUUCUGAGGUUAUUUUUGUCAUUCAGUUUUCAUCUGGUGUUUGUUCAUGUGCUGAGCACUGGAUCAAAAAAGUGUGCUUGUUUACUUGCGAUCAAAUGACAUUUGUCAAUAAAAGAUGAAUAUUGCC